UCUUCAUUUAUUAUAGAUCAGUGCUUUUUUAAAAAUACUUUUAUUUUCCCUUCUUAUUUCAAAAGCAAUGCAAAUUCAUUGCAAAAUAUUGAGCAUACUCAGAGAGUCACUUCUCGGUGUACUCUUGCAGCUUUCACACACGACUGUCUAUGUCCGGUUACAAGAUGGGCCCUGCCCUCCACGUCCCUCCUGUAAGCGACUCCCCAUUUCCUGAUGCCCAUCUGUCCAGGACGUUUUAAAAGGACUUUUAAAAGAACACAGUGUUUCCAGUCUGACAAAAUGUGACUUCUCCAGGAAGAACCCAGGGCCUGGCUUGAAGUGUGGGCACUCUCAGUGGUGGCUGCGUGAGGGGUAAGGGCCAAGAGACGGCUCUCUGGGCACCACCCCAGGGGGACCCCAGUGAAGUGCUCCUAUAGCCCCCCGGCCCUGCCUGGGCCGCAGUGGGGGCUGGGCAGGACACAGUUAGCACACGGGUGGGAAAGCCUCUCCCCAGGUCCACCUUGAACCAGAGAUGGCCUUAGCCCCAGGGCCGAGGGGAUGGAUGGGUGGCCUGCUGCCAUGGCAUUUACUGGUAGAGGACAGUUACAGUGGAAUGUGACCCCUGGAAGCCUGGACAUGGAGUAGGGGAGGGAAGGCUCCUGUCCCCGAGAGGCAGGCGGUGGCUGGACACACAUAUGCUGGAGCCGCACCAUCUGGGUUAAGUCCCACUGCAUCUGCCUGGAGCUUUGGGACUGCUGUGGAGUGUCUCCCUGUGGUAGUCAGCUUUACAUUGCUAUAACAAAAUACCUGAGAUAAUAAAAUCAUAAAGAGAGGAGGUUUAUUUGGCUCAUGGUUUCAAGGCCUUAGUGUUUGGCUGGCCCCGUUGGUUUCGGCCUGUGGUAGGUGGCUCAUCAUGAUGGGAGUACAUGGUGGAGCCAAGCUGCUCAUAUCAUGGAUGGCAGUGAAGGAGACGAAGAGGAGGAGGCUGGGUCCCCAUAUUUCCUUCAAGGACACACCCUCCAUGAUCACAAGACCUCCCCUUAGGCCCCACCUCCAUGAGCAGGGGCCAGACCCUGAAUGCAUGGGCCUUGGGAGACCUUCUAGAUUCGAACCACAGCACUCCCCAGAGUUCCCACUCUGGAAACUAGUCCCCAAUUCACAUGUUGGUAGCAUCUGGAGAAGGGGGCCUUUGAGAGGGAGUCAGGGUGAGGUGAGGUUCACCAGAAUGGCCUUAGUGGCUCUAUAAGAGGAGACCAGAGUGAGCCCACUGCUCCAUCUCAUUGUGGGUCGCCCUCCCAGGUGUCGGGAUGCAGCAAGAAGGCCCCGCCCGACACCUGCACCUUGAGGCUGGGCCCUCCUCCUCCAGGACUGUGAGGAAUAAAUCCCUCUUCUUUAUAAAUUACCCAGCCUCGGGUAUUCUGUUUUAGCAACACUUCACAGACUCAGCGGGUGAUGUCGGCCGUGGGACUUACGCUUUCUCUGUGCCUCAGGUUCCUUAUCGUAAGAUAGGGAUUAGGAUCGUGUCUCUCUCCUAAUGUAGUUUAAAUUAAUAUCCACUUGAAGGAGGCUCAGAAGCAGACCGUGGAGAGCCCAGCUCAGGCUUCCUCUGGAGUCCUGCUGUUCUAGGUCAGUAGUGCUUAGCCCUGGCCAUACACUAAUAUCUCCACAGGAAGCUCUGAAGACUUCUGGUGCCUGGGCCCCACCCAGACCCACUGGAUCAGAGCCCCUGCCCUCUGUGGCCCCAGGACGAAGGGCCUUUGGUUUUUUUUUUUUUUUUCAAAGCUCCCCCAGGCGAUUCUAAUGUGUGGCCAAGUCUGAGAAUCCUUGAUUUGAACCUAACCGAGAAGGAGCCCGUCUGGCCAGCCAGCCUUUGAUCGGCAGCAGAACUUCACUGUGUCAGUCGGGGACGGUUACCUGGAGCCACCCAUGGAGAAGUGAGGAUUUUCCUGGAGGUUCAAAGAUGCAGAAAUGAUUUCUGGAGUGCGGGAUGGUGAACGAAAUCCAUUGUAAAUCCGUAAAGAAUUUUCAUAAAGACAAUCUAUCUAUUCUAUGUUGGAAACUAAUGGGGUAAAAUCGUUUCUGGUAGAUAUCGUCUUAGGAAGUGGCCACAUGAGAUGAAGACUUUUAAGUGCCAUAGUUAUGCACUAGAGUAUCUUCUAAUUUCCUACAAGGACUCAGAGGAACUGGAAGGUCUCCAGCACAGGCCUUGAUUUAAGACACACUGUACAAUGAGGGGACACUGUCCCUGUCAAGUACAGUGGAAACCAGAGUUUUGAGACUAGACUCUGCCAAUUUCCUCCUAGGUUCUUGCCUCACAGAUUUGAAGAAUAAAAUCCACAGACAAUGGUGGGAGGGAAGAUGGACAGAGCACUCCCAGGAUGCAGGAGCCGUGCAGCAGGAAGGCCCACUCUGCUGUGCCAGCCUAGGGGCUGACAGGGCCUUGGGUAUGAGCAGGCUUGACGUUUUCGCUGAACAGGCAGCAGGGAAGUUCCGAGGCUGCUGGCUGUGUCUUCAGCCUGGGUCCUGAUCCCUCCUGUGAAGCCCAUCUGGCUUCACCCCCACCUUCUGUUCUGACUCUCGGGGAAGAAGGAGCUGGAUGCUCCUAUGGGUGAUCCUCAUGGUCUUUUCCAUUUGAAAAAGACUUUGCUGUUGCCUAUUGAUACUUCUUUUGCCUCCUGGCUGGUCUCUGCCUUUGAACAAGGCCUUCCCUGGGGCCCGCUGCCUGACCACUGUGUGCUCUGAUUCACAUCUGCAUCACUGAUGGGGAACACCUCCUGAAUGACGUGUCUUAGUGUUUCAUCGCUGUACGAACAUCCUACAUCGGACGGACAUCUACAAAACCUGUGAUGAGGCCUGCUGCAGACCUAGGUGACACAGCACAGCCAUUGCCCCCGGUCGGCAAAGCUGAAUAGCAGGUGCUCAGUGCUGCAGGCAGCUGUAACACAGUGGUGAGUCCACGUGUGUCCAACCUUGUCUAAACCAGGAGGUCCAGCAAGAACACUAGGCAACAGGAAUCUCCCAUCCUCCUUACAAGCUUAGGUGCCACUCACACGUGUGUGGUCCCUUGCCAACCAGAAAGCUGCUGUCCAGGGCAUGACUGUAUUGUCUGAUCACGCCACCCCAGGACUUGGAGGUGGCACUUGCAGAGGGGACAAGGUGGACCAGCAGUUGUCUUUUCAGCCUGAUCCUACAAGAUUGGCUCAGCAUUCCAGUUGCCUGUUCUCCCCUCAUGGCUGAGCUGAGCGCUGGGCCUCAGAUCCAACUCAUUUGUUUGGAAAGGGAUCCUUGUGGAGUGGCACCUUGGAAAGCACCCAUCUGAAGCAACGUUGUGUGGAUUGGUUAUGAUUUUCCCAGGACAUGUAAGUAAGGCAGAAUCGCUCGUCUGUUCGUGAGCUCCUUCUCGGUCCCUGAGGGCUGCCUCAGAAUUCCCUGGGAGUGACAGUGACACCUCCCCUCCUGGCCCCAUGGUGAAUGGUCCUCUGUGUGAAGGGGAUGGAGCUGGGCAGAAGCAACAGGACCAGCAGGCAAAGGGUGUGGUCAGCGCCCAGGCCUGGGUGGCCAAGAGAGGUGGCCCCACGUGCCUUCAAGUCCUUCCUGCCUGGACUGUGCCUCCCUGAAAUCUGCUCAGGAUGGAGGAGCCCGUGAGCAGGACUUGGGCGGAAAUGAUACAGGACCAGCCACGUGGGUCCAGAGGGGUCUGCGAGGCAGCGCGGUACCGUGCAGAAGUCUGUUCUCUUAAAGACCCCCUGUCCUGGCCCAUGUCACUGGGCUGCCUCUGGCAAGUGGCUUAUUUCCUUUAAGCUUCAGUUCCUCAUCUCUGAAGUGGGGACACUGAGGUAACCACUGUCUUCCACCUGCAGGGCAGACGUGAGGCCCACCCAGGGCCUGAGGGCUGCAGACCUAGCCUGGAGCCUGGGUUAGGGUGAAGCACUGAACUCAGUGACUCUUGACCACCUUGGGGGACACACCACACAUGCACGGACGGCGGCUGAUGGAUGACCAGUGGUAAAGAGCCUGCAAGUGGCGCAGAUGGGCGAAUGUUGCAGGAGUUCCGAGCAGGGUGGGUCCCCGAGGUAGGGGCAGAGGGCUGGCGUUCCGGAGGCGUGACCUGGGCCUGGAAGGAGAACUCUGUGCCCAGGAAGGCACAAGCCUGGCCUGUUCCUCUCAGGCCUGGGAAGAGCUCCAUAAUCAUCCACCCUCCAUCAAAAAUGCUGCCCAUCGUUGACCCAGACGUCGUGUGGCGUGUGACUGCAUUUAUUUGGUUCUCCUCUGAUGGGCCAGUUCCAAGCCACCCACUCACUCUGGGAAACUUCAAACAACAUGGCCUAAGGAUUUCUUGUUGGUGGCUCCCAGGCAGACAAAAACAGCCAUGUCCCUCAGUGGGGACAAGGUCCUAUACACCCUUUGUGUCAUUUUGGCCACAGACCAGGAGAAGCUUCUCCAGAGUGACCACCAAGGACCUGGCACCCCUUCCCUCUGGCGCUAGGUAGAUACCUGUUCAUGGCAGCGCAAGAGCAAGGCUUCCUGGCUGCCCACGCGGGACAGGAAGGAGCCGCGUGCGCUGUGUGUUCCUGGUACAGCGCCGGGCCCUGCCGGGAUGGUCUGGGGAGCUGUCUGCUCGAGUUCCACGUCGCUGGACGUGGCAGUUGAGCUGGUGACUGUGGAACGUUCUAGAAGAGGAGUGGGGUGGGACAAGGCGAGCUUGAAGCUGGAGGAGCCCGGUGCCUGGAUCAGGGCAGCUGAGAUUCCAGGUUGCCCGCUGCCAGCCUGCAUGACACCUCCGCUGUCUGUCUCCCCAGCCGGGGCCAGUGUGACUUCCCCUCCACGUGGGACGACGCUGGGGGGUGGGUGUCCUGGCAACAGCCUGUUAGGGUCUGUAAACAAGUCAAGAUGGCGCCUGGCAUUUUGCCAGAGGGAGUGGUUUGUGAAGUAACACCAGCGAGCCAUUAAGUGUGGAGAUUCCUUAAUGACUGACUGCUGUAUCUAGUUUAUGUUAAUUAGAUAAGCUGUGUGGAAUGUAUACAUACCCCUCCUGUCCUACAAUAAACGGCUCCCUCUCCUGCUGUAUCAAUGUACACAAGUUGCUCGUCACCCCCCGGUUAUUUUGCUGCAGCCGGACUGCGGCAACAGCCCAUUCCUGGAGGGAGAGCAGGGGCGGAGGUCAAGCAAGACUUUGUUGGACAGUCCCAGGAGGGUCGCCUCCACCACACCCUGCAGGGGACCUGGGAGUGCCAGUCACUUCUUGGAGCUGGUAGAGAGCUGGGCCGCAGACCCCGUGACCUUCAGAUGUCAUCGAAUGGCCACCCGAGGAAGGCAGACUACCAAACACCUGUUUCAGGUUCAGAUUUUCAGAAACCAACAAGAACACA